rnacentral:rRNA from 1 species
AGCUCCAGUAGCGUACACUAACGUUGUUGCAGUUAAAAAGCUCGUAGUUGGAUUUCUGGGCGAUGCUGACGGUUCGCUCCCUUUGGGUUGCGUGACCAGUCGUGCGUCGUUCAUCCUGUCGUGACCUGCUCUGGCCUUGAUUGGUCGGAGUCUAGCGAACGGCUCAUUUACUUUGAGAAAAACAGAGUGUUCAAAGCAGGCCAGUGCCUUGAAUGUUCCAGCAUGGAAUAAUGACAUAGGACUUCUGUCCUGGUUGUUGGUGUACAGGACCGAAGUAAUGAUUGAGAGGGACGGUUGAGGGCAUUUGUAUUGUCGGGCGAGAGGUGAAAUUCGCGGACCCCGGCAGGACAAACUAUUGCGAAGGCAUCUGCCAAGGACGUUUCCUUUAAUCAAGAACGAA